AUGUUCGAUAAGAACGACGGCGGACGCACGGCCUUCCUGACAAGGGUUGUCCACAGAGCGGUGGUCAAGGUGAACGAGCAAGGCACGGAGGCAGGCGCGAGCACAGCUGGCAUGCGUGGUGGCGGCCUGCCGCCCAACGUUGUGGAGUUCGUCGCCGAUCAUCCGUUCACCUUCCUCAUCAUGGAGGAACGGUCCGGUGUCAUCGUCUUCGCUGGCCACGUCCUUGAUCCGACCAAGUGA
rnacentral:rRNA from 1 species